rnacentral:rRNA from 1 species
GACGAACGCUGGCGGCGUGCUUAACACAUGCAAGUCGAACGGAAAGGCCUCUUUCGGGGGGUACUCGAGUGGCGAACGGGUGAGUAACACGUGAGUAACCUGCCCUUGACUUUGGGAUAACUUCAGGAAACUGGGGCUAAUACCGGAUAGGAGCUCCUGCUGCAUGGUGGGGGUUGGAAAGUUUCGGCGGUUGGGGAUGGACUCGCGGCUUAUCAGCUUGUUGGUGGGGUAGUGGCUUACCAAGGCUUUGACGGGUAGCCGGCCUGAGAGGGUGACCGGCCACAUUGGGGCUGAGGUACGGGCCAGACUGCUACGGGGGGCAGCGGUGGGGAAUAUUGCACAGUGGGUGGAAGCCUGAUGCAGCAACGCCGUGUGCGGGAUGACGGCCUUCGGGUUAUAAACCGCUUUCACUCAUAACGAAGCUUUGUGUGACGGUAGUAGGUAAAGAAGCACCGGCUAACUACGUG